rnacentral:rRNA from 1 species
AGAGUUUGAUCCUGGCUCAGAGCGAACGCUGGCGGCAGGCCUUAACACAUGCAAGUCGAGCGCCCGUAGCAAUACGGGAGCGGCAGACGGGAGAGUAACACGUGGGAACGUACCCUUCAGUUCGGAACAACCCAGGGAAACUUGGGCUAAUACCGAAUACGUCCGUAAGGAGAAAGAUUUAUCGCUGAAGGAUCGGCCCGCGUCUGAUUAGCUAGUUGGUGAGGUAACGGCUCACCAAGGCGACGAUCAGUAGCUGGUCUGAGAGGAUGAUCAGCCUCACUGGGACUGAGACACGGCCCAGACUCCUACGGGAGGCAGCAGUGGGGAAUAUUGGACAAUGGGCGCAAGCCUGAUCCAGCCAUGCCGCGUGGAUGAUGAAGGCCCUAGGGUUGUAAAGUCCUUUCGGCGGGGAAGAUAAUGACGGUACCCGCAGAAGAAGCCCCGGCUAACUUCGUGCCAGCAGCCGCGGUAAUACGAAGGGGGCUAGCGUUGCUCGGAAUCACUGGGCGUAAAGCGCACGUAGGCGGACUCUUAAGUCGGUGGUGAAAUCCUGGAGCUCAACUCCAGAACUGCCUUCGGAUACUGAGAGUCUUGAGUCCGGGAGAGGUGAGUGGA